AGAAAUUUAAGGUUAGUGUGUUCGCAUGCUAUCAAUGAUAUACAAGAUGCCUCAGUUGGUCUAGGACUUCAAGUUAUAAGGCUACAAUUUAAGGAGGGCACAUAGUACAAUUUCAUAACAGGGAGCAUCGAGAAAACAACAGUUUUACUCAAAAUCAUUAAAAUCUUGGAUUCUCAAGCUACGCAACCUAUAUGUUCUUUGGGAAGGGAAAAUAUACAAAUGGAAAUGUUUGAGAAAGAAAUACGUGGUGGUCUGUAGCUGAAUAUAUUCCAGUAUAGUGUUAUCCAGUUUCAGAGCAGCACUCUUGGAGGUAUAUUCUUUCUUUUGCAAAAGAUUGAUUGAGAAAUGGUUCAUAUCAAAUAUGUAGUUGUUUGAAGCUGGGGAUAUACCAAUGACUUUUCCAGAUAGUUGUUAGACCAAUUUGAAG